AUUGAACGCUGGCGGCAUGCUUUACACAUGCAAGUCGAACGGUAACAGGGUGCUUGCACCGCUGACGAGUGGCGAACGGGUGAGUAAUGCGUCGGAACGUGCCGAGUAGUGGGGGAUAACGCAGCGAAAGUUGUGCUAAUACCGCAUACGUACUGAGGUAGAAAGUGGGGGACCUUCGGGCCUCACGCUAUUCGAGCGGCCGACGUCUGAUUAGCUAGUAGGUGAGGUAAAGGCUCACCUAGGCGACGAUCAGUAGCGGGUCUGAGAGGAUGAUCCGCCACACUGGGACUGAGACACGGCCCAGACUCCUACGGGAGGCAGCAGUGGGGAAUUUUGGACAAUGGGCGAAAGCCUGAUCCAGCCAUGCCGCGUGUGUGAAGAAGGCCUUUUGGUUGUAAAGCACUUUAAGCGAGGAGGAGGCUACUAGUACUAAUACUACUGGAUAGUGGACGUUACUCGCAGAAUAAGCACCGGCUAACUCUGUGCCAGCCGCCGCCGUAA
rnacentral:rRNA from 1 species